rnacentral:lncRNA from 1 species
CACUCACACACAGACCUGUCUCUCUCUCUCUCUCUCUCGGCUCAAUCACACGACUCACACUCACACUCACACCAGACACGGCGCAGCGGCGCCUCCCUUCCGGCGACGAGCGCCACCGCUUCUUUUUCGACCUCCGACGAACAGCGGCCCUCCCUCUCGUCUUUACUUAGUAGUCGACGGCAGCAGCAGCAAAAGCCGACCACCGCCGCCUCAUCCCUCAUCUCCCUCUCGGCUCAUUUCUCAGACCGGAUACCCCAGCAACCCCCUCCUCCUUGGCAACGGCGGCCGCCGUGGCCUCCGUCACCUCCCUCGAUCUCUCUGUCAGAACCCACGCCUCACACCGUCCGCGUCGUCUCCUUCCUUGGAGACGGCGAGAGCGCCGCCUCCUCUCUCUCUGCUCUCUUUCCUAUUCCAGCGACAGACUCAACUUAAACAGCAACGACACCCUCCCGACUCGGUUCACUAAAGUUCGAAGAUGAAGAGCAAAAUCAGAGUUCAAGACUCGACCUUUCUUUCUUCUUUUUCUUUAAGACAGACAUGCUUCAUGUAUAUAAAAAUAUAUGAAUAGAUGGUAUGCACAUGAAUGAAAUCUUUAAAUGUCAUUUGUUUCAAAAACUUGGAACACAAAAUAUGAAUUUGAGGUGCUAACCGUGAAUAGAGAUAAAAUGGGCAGAGGGGUUUGUAGACGAAGCCUUUGGUUUGAUGAACUUGGCAAAUGUUUGGCUUGGUUAGCUGUUGUAUACUGGACCUUCGUGAAUCAGGCUAUAUAAGAAUUCAGAUAUUGUUUCCAUCAAAAAUUGCCAUAGGAAUUAAGAGGAAACAAAGGAAUUUCAAAGCUGAAACUUACAGGUGUAGUUGGCAGAACGCUUGGGAGAGAGAUGGGAGAUGCUGAAAGUUGUAAAGAAAUGCUAAGGUGAUAGAUAUGGCUUCAAAGUGUAUCUAGAUGUGGCACUAAGAUGGGGAUUUGACAUGCCUGCAAAGGCAUGGCUAAAACACUUUUGGGGUUGCUUGAAAGGACAAGGUAUGGUGUUGGCCCGCUGCUAGGAACACAGGUUAGGCCAUCCACUAUGGUUAAAAAAAAAUGGGUAGUUGCUGACAUGGAAAGGAGAGAACCAUGGUGGGCGUGAGUAUUUGGGGUAGCAAAAUGGGAAAGGUAGCAAAUGGGUAGUUGCUACCUUGGUAGGAGUUCAGGCGGUGGGCCCCCAAGGCAAAAGAGCAGACGCGCGUUUUGCAACAACUCGCUGCCAGCGCACAUGGAAUUGACGGCCCGGGCCUAGCCCACUUCUUUCCUCUCCAUUUUCGUCCGUUUUCUUCUUUUUUUAUUUUAUUUUUUCAUUUUCCCCAUCCUUAUCCUAUUUGUUUCCCUUCCAUUUUCCAACUCUUUUCAAUCAAACAAAUAAAUUUGUCAGAGAUCGACAUAUCUUUUCAUUUAUAUUUGAUGUGAUGAUACGAAGCAGAAACAAUAUUUGAUGUGAAAGUACGCAGCUACUACAAUUGUAACUUUUCAAUUCUCAAACGGCCACAUUUAAUAUGGUAUUUUUUUCCCUAUAUAUAUCUUCAUGUAUCAUAUGAUUCUUACCCCAAAAUUAUUCUUCAUCUAUUUAUCAUACUUACUUCUUCUCCAAAAAAUUUAGAAACAACAUGAGUGGAUUUCCAAAUUGAUUUGAUCCAUAUGGAUCAAAUUCAAUUUCACAAAAUUCAAGUUCUCCUUCAUAAAAUUGUAACGAUCCUUCUCAAAAUUCCGGCAUUCGCCCUCCAAAUUUCUCUUGGCCACAUAUGUCUAAUCCUUAAAUAUAUCCCAGCUAGGUUAUCCAGCUAUUAGAAUAUUAAAUCUAAGACUGGCGUAUCCAGCUAGGUUAUAUUGUAAUAAGGGAAAUAGACAAGACUAGCGUAUCUAGCUGUCUAUCGACACUAGGGGUGAGCAGAAACCGAACCGAAAUGCAAAACCGAACCGAACCGAACCGUUUUGGUAUGGUUCGGUCCCGAAUCUAUUGGUUCGGUUUUCGGUUCGGUUCCAAAAAUUAAAAACCGAUAAGUUUCGGUUCGGUUUCGGUUUUCAGUUUUUGGUUCGGUUUUAAACCGAACCGAACCGAUAAAUAUUAAUAUUUUAUUAUAUAUUUAUAUUUUAUAAUAUAUAUUCAAUUUUCUAAUUUUUAAUUGGUUUAUAUAUUUAUAUUUUAUAAUAUUUUAUUAUAUAUUUAUAUUUUAUAUAUUUUAUAAUAUAUUAAUUGGUUUUUUCAUAAAUUAUACCUCCAAUCCGUAAUUGUUGGAAUAGGGCUGAUUAGUGAUAAAGCUACCAUGUUCGUAGUAGGAAUAAAUUGGUGGAUUAAUUAUUACUACCGGUUCGGUUUCGGUUCGGUUUGGCACCCCCAAUUGGUGCGGUUCGGUUCCAAUUUUAACCAUCGGUUCGGUUUUCGGUUUUGGAUUUUUGGUUCGGUUUUGCACCGAACCGAACCGAUGCUCACCCCUAAUCGACACAGUAAGUAGGAAUUGGGGUAUGUCAGUGCGUAUCACGGUAUUCUAUAACUGGUUGGUUGAUAGGGAUUAAUUAAUCUUUGCGUCAAUGAACAGAGUAUUAAAUUGAUAUGGAUUUAUUUGAGCCGAGUUACCUUUUAUUGAUUUGUUUCAAGAGUUAUUUUAUUUGAUUUUAUUUAUUUUCUUAGUUGAUUAAUAUUAUCUCCAAAUUAAGGCGUGGUGGUAUCACCAAAAUCUAGAUCUUUAGGAAUUUGAUUGCAAUUACCCGUUCUCUGUGGUUCGACCCUGUUUGUUGCUAUAAUAAUGUAAUUCUUGGUAAGAUUGGAGGAAUUAUUUGGUGGAAUACGACGACCACCAAAUUGACGCCGUUGCCGGGGAACGGUGUUUUGUUGUGCUUAUAUUUUCAAGUGGGCGAGAUCAGUCUUUCUAUGCUUAGUUUUGGUCUUUGUCUCGUGCGAAUUUUUAUGAAUCGGUUGAAGAAGAGAUGGUUUUCGAUGUGACUUUCGGGUAUGUGAAUGAAUGGUAGUUAUUCUUGUUUUACCUUCGAUAUAUGUUUCUUGAUUGUGCAAAGAAUUAUGAGUUUUGUUGUAACAUUUUUGUAAGUUAGUAAAACGUGAUUUAUCCGGUAGAUGCUAGAAGGAGUGUUGUCAUUGUGAUUGCCUACGAUCGUAUCUUAUUUGUGAAAAUGUUGGAUGAAUUGCCAGCUCUGAAACAGCUGGCCUGUUCUGAAAAUAUGAUAGCUCUGAGUCUCUGCUCCUCUAGUCUAACUAUGAGCAUGGGAAACCACGUGAAAAGACUUUGGAUUACAUCCAAAUGGUUUUAUUUCAUGAAUUAUGGCUCAACUGUCGAAAAUCUUAAGCACAAAAAGUGUAAAAAAUGGUGAUAUUGAUUAUAAAGGCGAUCACAUUAGGGAAUUCACUUCUAGCGGAGAAUUGGGUCUGAUCGAAUUACUUGCAUUACUCUUUUGUUGCUUCUUAAACUUUGAGUUACUUGCAUGAUCGAGAAGAUGUGUGUUGAUUGUAAAAUCUUGAAUUGACUUGUGAAUGUUUGGAUUGGAAAUUAGCAUUGUUGAAAUCAAUCUCUUCCUAGGAUUCAUAUGGAUUUUGCUUGAGGACAAGCAAAAGGCUAAGUGUGGGGGGUUGAUUUAUGCUUAACUGUGCUAAAUUUUGGGGUUUAUAUGAGCUUUAUUUUAAGAGAAUCUUCUCGAAAUUGGUGCGUUUUAUGGCUUGUUUGAUGCUUUGCAGGAGAUUUAGGUUUUUAGAUGGAAAAAUACAAUUUUGGAGAUUUCGGGGCUAAAGAGGGUGUUUUUAGCAUAACUUUGUAGCCAGAGCAGAGCAGCAAAGCUCUGUCGCCAAAGCCCGCGCUCCAGACCAGACCAGAGAAGUCAGCCGAAGCCCCGCGUCAGAGAAAUCAAUCUCUAGAGCAGCGAAAUGGAUAGUCAAAGUAGAGAAAUCAAGAAGCCAGAGGAAUCAAAGCCAGAGGAAUCAAAGCACAAAGCAGAAUAGUCCAGUGCAGCGAAAUCAAAGUCCGCGGCAAAGAAACCAAUCUCCAGAGCAGCGAAAUGAAGCGCCUGAGGAAUCGAAGCGCCAGAGGAAUCGAAGCGUCAGAGGAAUCACUUCGCCGCUGGAAUCAUAAGUGCCAGCGGAAUCAUAAGCGCCAGAGAAAUCAACAUAUCAGAGCCAGAGUGGAAGCCGUUCCGCUGGUGAGAGCCGCGAUUUCCGCCAUAGUGGAGAUUAUUUCCAGAGCGCGCGUCACAGCUGGACUUACCUUCUUUUGCACGAUUCUAUUCCUUUUAGAGUCCGGCUUUGCAUGGCAACUUCCAUGGUGAUCCAUAGGGAUUCGAAGUCUAUAAAUAGGGCCUAGUUUUCUUUCAGAUAUACAAUUCCUUGCCCUAAUUUCGUUUUCCUGGAGAUCAUCUUCCCUUGGCAGCCGCAACUUUAGACUUAGAUUUAUUAGUUUAACUUUGAUUAUGUUCAUUCUUUUGCUUUAGUUUUGGUGGAGACGAUUUCUCUUUUAUUCCAGAGUGGUGAUUUAUUUCUUCGCAAUUUAAUUUAUUUUUUUGUUUCAUGUUUGCUUUUAUUUCUUUGAUUGUUCUAUAUUUUAAUUAUGAGUAGCUCCAACCACCAAUGACAUUCUGUUGACCUUGAUUCAUAUUCUGCCCAUAUGGUCUGCUUGGUCCUAAUUGUUCAUAUAAUUGAUUCCUAUUGAUUUCGAUUUAUUCCUAGUGUUUAAAGAUAAUUCUGAUUUUAUUUAAGUCUGGCCAACUUAGGUUUAAUUGGAUUACAGUCAAUUAGCACCUCCAAUCCGUAAUUGUUGGAAUAGGGCUGAUUAGUGAUAAAACUACCAUGUUCGUAGUAGGAAUAAAUUGGUGGAUUAAUUAUUACUAGCGUAUCUAGGAUAAUUGAUCUAAAUUGGGUUCCUUCUUCUUAAUGCUAUUAGAAUAUUAAAUCUAGGUCUGGCGUCUCCAGCUAGGUUAUAUUUUAAUAAGGGAAAUAAGCAGGUCUGGCGUCUCCAGCUGUUUAUCGACACAGUAAGUAGGAAUUGGGGUAUGUCAGUGCGUAUCACGGUAUCCUAUAACUGGUUGGUUGAUAGGGAUUAAUUAAUCUUUGCGUCGAUGAACAGAGUAUUAAAUUGAUAUGGAUUUAUUUGAGCCGAGUUACCUUUUUAUUGAUUUGUUUCAAGAGUUAUUUUAUUUGUAUUUAAUUUGCUUUCUUAGUUAAUUAAUUUUUCUUAUCAAAUUAAGGCGUGGUGGCAUCACCAAAAUCUACAUCUUUAGGAAUUUGAUUGCAAUUACCCGUUCUCUGUGGUUCGACCCUGCUUGUUGCUAUACUAAUGUAAUUCUUGGUAAGAUUGCAGGAAUUAUUUGGUGGAAUACGACGACCACCAAAUUGGCGCCGUUGCCGGGGAGCGGUGUUUUGUUUUUUUUCUCUUUUUAUGUUGUUUUUUUAUUUUUUUUUCUUUGUUUUGGUGUUUGUCCGUGCGAAUUUUUAUGAAUGGGUGGAAGAAGAGAUUGUUUUCGAUGUGGCUUUGGGGUAUGUUGCUGAAUGGUGGUUAUUCUUAUUUUACCUUCGAUAUAUGUUUCUUGAUUGUGCAAAGAAUUAUGAGUUUUGUUGUAACAUUUUUGUAAGUUAGUAAAACGUGAUUUGUCCGGUAGAUGCUAGAAGGAGUCUUGUCAUUGUGAUUGCCUACGAUCGCAUCUUAUUUGUGAAAUUGUUGGACGAAUUGCCAGCUCUAAAACAGCCAGCUCUGAAACAUCUGGCCUGCUCUGAAAAUGUGACAGCUCUGAGUCUCUGCUCCUCUAGUUCAACUAUGAGCAUGGGAAACCACGUGAAAGACUUUGGAUUACAUCCAAAUGGUUUAUUUCAUGAAUUAUGGCUCAACUGUCGAAAAUCUUAAGCACAAAAAAGUAGUAAAAAAUGGNNNNNNNNNNNNNNNNNNNNNNNNNNNNNNNNNNNNNNNNNNNNNNNNNNNNNNNNNNNNNNNNNNNNNNNNNNNNNNNNNNNNNNNNNNNNNNNNNNNNNNNNNNNNNNNNNNNNNNNNNNNNNNNNNNNNNNNNNNNNNNNNNNNNNNNNNNNNNNNNNNNNNNNNNNNNNNNNNNNNNNNNNNNNNNNNNNNNNNNNNNNNNNNNNNNNNNNNNNNNNNNNNNNNNNNNNNNNNNNNNNNNNNNNNNNNNNNNNNNNNNNNNNNNNNNNNNNNNNNNNNNNNNNNNNNNNNNNNNNNNNNNNNNNNNNNNNNNNNNNNNNNNNNNNNNNNNNNNNNNNNNNNNNNNNNNNNNNNNNNNNNNNNNNNNNNNNNNNNNNNNNNNNNNNNNNNNNNNNNNNNNNNNNNNNNNNNNNNNNNNNNNNNNNNNNNNNNNNNNNNNNNNNNNNNNNNNNNNNNNNNNNNNNNNNNNNNNNNNNNNNNNNNNNNNNNNNNNNNNNNNNNNNNNNNNNNNNNNNNNNNNNNNNNNNNNNNNNNNNNNNNNNNNNNNNNNNNNNNNNNNNNNNNNNNNNNNNNNNNNNNNNNNNNNNNNNNNNNNNNNNNNNNNCGCCAAAGCCCGCGCUCCAGACCAGACCAGAGAAGUCAGCCGAAGCCCCGCGUCAGAGAAACCAAUCUCUAGAGCAGCGAAAUGGAUAGUCAAAGCAGAGAAAUCAGAAAAUCAAGAAGCCAGAGGAAUCAAAGCACAAGCAGAAUAGUCCAGUGCAGCGAAAUCAAAGUCCGCGGCAGAGAAACCAAUUCCAGAGCAGCGAAAUGAAGCGCCUGAGGAAUCAAAGCGCCAGAGGAAUCGAAGCUCAGAGGAAUCACUUCGCCGCUGGAAUCAUAAGUGCCAGCGGAAUCAUAAGCGCCAGAGAAAUCAACAUAUAGAGCCAGAGGGAAGCCGUUCCGCUGGUGAGAGCCGCGAUUUCCGCCAUAUGGAGAUUAUUUCCAGAGCGCGCGUCACACUGGACUUACCUUCUUUUGCAGAUUCUAUUCCUUUUAGAGUCCGGUUGCAUGGCAACUUCCAUGGUGAUCCAUAGGGAUUCGAAGUCUAUAAAUAGGGCCUAGUUUUUCUUUCAGAUAUACAAUUCCUUGCCCUAAUUUUCGUUUUUCCUGGAAUCAUCUUUCCCUUGGCAGCCGCAACUUUAGACUUAGAUUUAUUAGUUUAACUUUGAUUAUGUUCAUUCUUUUGCUUUAGUUUUUAGUGCAGACGAUUUCUCUUUUUAUUCCAGAGUGGUGAUUUUAUUUUCUUCGCAAUUUAAUAUAUUUUUCUGUUUCAUGUUUGCUUUUAUUUGUUUGAUUGUUCUAGUUUUAAUUAUGAGUAGCUAAAUCUUGAACUCGGCGAGAAUAAUGAAGUAUUGAUUUAAUAACCUGUGAGACCUAAUUGUUCAUAUAAUUGAUUCCUAUUGAUUUCGAUUUAUUCACAGUGUUUAAAGAUAAUUAUGAUUUUAUUUAAGUCUGGCCAACUUAGGUUUAAUUGGAUUACAGUCAAUUAGCACCUCCAAUCCGUAAUUGUUGGAAUAGGGCUGAUUAGUGAUAAAGCCACCAUGUUCGUAGUAGGAAUAAAUUGGUGGAUUAAUUAUUACUAGCGUAUCUUGGAUAAUUGGUCUAAACUGGGUUCCUUCAUCUUAAUUCUAUUAGAAUAUUAAAUCUAAGACUGGCGUAUCCAGCUAGGUUAUAUUGUAAAAAGGGAAAUAGACAAGACUAGUGUAUCUAGUUGUCUAUCGACACAGUAAGUAGGAAUUGGGGUAUGUCAGUGCGUAUCACGGUAUUCUAUAACUGGUUGGUUGAUAGGGAUUAAUUAAUCUUUGCGUCAAUGAACAGAGUAUUAAAUUGAUAUGGAUUUAUUUGAGCCGAGUUACCUUUUUAUUGAUUUGUUUCAAGAGUUAUUUUAUUUGUUUUUAUUUAUUUUCUUAGUUGAUUAAUAUUUUCUCCAAAUUAAGGCGUGGUGGCAUCACCAAAAUCUAGAUCUUUAGGAAUUUGAUUGCAAUUACCCGUUCUCUGUGGUUCGACCCUGCUUGUUGCUAUACUAAUGUAAUUCUUGGUAAGAUUGGAGGAAUUAUUUGGUGGAAUACGACGACCACCAAAUUGACGCCGUUGCCGGGGAACGGUGUUUUGUUGUGCUUAUAUUUUCAAGUGGGCGAGAUCAUUCUUUCUAUGCUUAGUUUUGGUCUUUGUCUCGUGCGAAUUUUUAUGAAUCGGUGGAAGAAGAGAUGGUUUUCGAUGUGACUUUCGGGUAUGUGAAUGAAUGGUAGUUAUUCUUGUUUUACCUUCGAUAUAUGUUUCUUGAUUGUGCAAAGAAUUAUGAGUUUUGUUGUAACAUUUUUGUAAGUUAGUAAAACGUGAUUUGUCCGGUAGAUGCUAGAAGGAGUGUUGUCAUUGUGAUUGCCUACGAUCGUAUCUUAUUUGUGAAAAUGUUGGACGAAUUGCCAGCUCUGAAACAGCUGGCCUGUUCUGAAAAUAUGAUAGCUCUGAGUCUCUGCUCCUCUAGUCUAACUAUGAGCAUGGGAAACCACGUGAAAAGACUUUGGAUUACAUCCAAAUGGUUUUAUUUCAUGAAUUAUGGCUCAACUGUCGAAAAUCUUAAGCACAAAAAGUGUAAAAAAUGGUGAUAUUGAUUAUAAAGGCGAUCACAUUAGGGAAUUCACUUCUAGCGGAGAAUUGGGUCUGAUCGAAUUACUUGCAUUACUCUUUUGUUGCUUCUUAAACUUUGAGUUACUUGCAUGAUCGAGAAGAUGUGUGUUGAUUGUAAAAUCUUGAAUUGACUUGUGAAUGUUUGGAUUGGAAAUUAGCAUUGUUGAAAUCAAUCUCUUUCUAGAAUUCAUAUGGAUUUUGCUUGAGGACAAGCAAAAGGCUAAGUGUGGGGGGUUGAUUUAUGCUUAAUUGUGCUAAAUUUUGGGGUUUAUAUGAGCUUUAUUUUAAGAGAAUCUUCUGGAAAUUGGUGCGUUUUAUGGCUUGUUUGAUGCUUUGCAGGAGAUUUAGGUUUUUAGAUGGAAAAAUACAAUUUUGGAGAUUUCGGGGCUAAAGAGGGUGUUUUUAGCAUAACUUUGUAGCCAGAGCAGAGCAGCAAAGCUCUGUCGCCAAAGCCCGCGCUCCAGACCAGACCAGAGAAGUCAGCCGAAGCCCCGCGUCAGAGAAACCAAUCUCUAGAGCAGCGAAAUGGAUAGUCAAAGCAGAGAAAUCAAGAAGCCAGAGGAAUCAAAGCACAUAGCAGAAUAGUCCAGUGCAGCGAAAUCAAAGUCCGCGGCAGAGAAACCAAUUUCCAGAGCAGCGAAAUGAAGCGCCUGAGGAAUCGAAGCGCCUGAGGAAUCACUUCGCCGCUGGAAUCAUAAGUGCCAGCGGAAUCAUAAGCGCCAGAGAAAUCAACAUAUCAGAGCCAGAGUGGAAGCCGUUCCGCUGGUGAGAGCCGCGAUUUCCGCCAUAAUGGAGAUUAUUUCCAGAGCGCGCGUCACAGCUGGACUUACCUUCUUUUGCACGAUUCUAUUCCUUUUAGAGUCCGGCUUUGCAUGGCAACUUCCAUGGUGAUCCAUAGGGAUUCGAAGUCUAUAAAUAGGGCUUAGUUUUUCUUUCAGAUACACAAUUCCUUGCCCUAAUUUUCGUUUUUCCUGGAGAUCAUCUUUCCCUUGGCAGCCGCAACUUUAGACUUAGAUUUAUUAGUUUAACUUUGAUUAUGUUCAUUCUUUUGCUUUAGGUUUUUGUGCAGACGAUUUCUCUUUUUAUUCCAGAGUGGUGAUUUUAUUUUCUUCGCAAUUUAAUUUAUUUUUCUGUUUCAUGUUUGCUUUUAUUUGUUUGAUUGUUCUAGUUUUAAUUAUGAGUAGCUAAAUCUUUAACUCGGCGAGAAUAAUGAAGUAUUGAUUUAAUAACCUGUGAGACCUAAUUGUUCAUAUAAUUGAUUCCUAUUGAUUUCGAUUUAUUCCUAGUGUUUAAAGAUAAUUCUGAUUUUAUUUAAGUUUGGCCAACUUAGGUUUAAUUGGAUUACAGUCAAUUAGCACCUCCAAUCCGUAAUUGUUGGAAUAGGGCUGAUUAGUGAUAAAGCUACCAUGUUCGUAGUAGGAAUAAAUUGGUGGAUUAAUUAUUACUAGCGUAUCUAGGAUAAUUGGUCUAAACUGGGUUCCUUCAUCUUAAUGCUAUUAGAAUAUUAAAUCUAAGACUGACAUAUCCAGCUAGGUUAUAUUGUAAUAAGGGAAAUAGACAAGACUAGCGUAUCUAGCUGUCUAUGAUAACACUCAUAUUUCCAUGGUUUUUAAUAUUCAUAUGAUGUUAAUUUUAUAGGAAAUUGAGUGUUGGAUGAUUGUUUUGUGCUUAAUUUGCUUUAUCUUGUGAAACAUGAUUCUUACUCGAACUUUGAAGGAAUUUGCAGAUUUAUUGAGUUCGAAUUUGGAACAAUGUUCUGAAAUAGAAGUUGUAUAUCGUCUCGAUAUGAAUUCGUGAGCGUAAACAGAUCAUAAAUCGGAGUUCGGACGAGAAAGUUAUGGCCGAAACAAAAACGUCGCGCGCAGUAGUCAAAAUUCGGCGACCGCCGAAAAUUGGCAUUUUAAAGAAUAAAUUCGGCGACCUAAACGGCGACCGCCGAGUUGGUCGCCGAAAUCCCUGUUCAGAUAUUGGCCUGGUGGAGCAAAAACGGCGAUCGCCGAAUUUUAGCUGUUUUCAGGCCAAAUUCGGCGACCUGUUCGGCGACCGCCGAACGGGUCGCCGUUUUUAGGCGUGUUUUCGUUUUUUCCGCGUUUUUACGAUUUUUCAAGUUAUUUUCAGUUUAGAACUUGGUUUUUCACCCUAAGACUAUAAAUAGGUCCUCUUUUGACCUAUCUAGGGUUCCCAGCUUUAGUUUUUCAGUUCCCAACAUUCAUAUUUCAGUUUUAUAGCUUUACAAUAUUUUAGCUUUCCAGUUUUCAAGGCUUGGAUCAAAAUUGAAGAUUCAAGUCGCUACAAUCGUUUUAAUUCGAUUUUUAUACAAUUUGUUUUUACAAUUGCGUUCAAUUUAAUUAUGUUUAUGUUUGAUUUUGCUAUGUCUGGCUAAUUUCCUUUAGCUGAUUCUAGGGUUUGUAAAUAGUUGAUUGAAUUUAUGUGAUUUAUUUGUUAAUACCUUUGUGCCUUCCAGUUUAUGAUUCAUGAUUCCUGGUGCUUAAUUUCUUGUGAAUUAUUUGGCCAAUAAUUUACAUGUUUAGUUGUUCAGUUUGAGUCUUGAAUGCGAUAAUUGUUCAGCCGAUUCAGGAAUGCAUGAUAUAGUAUUAGCCUUGAGUCUUGAAUGCGAUAGGUGAAGCUAUAGGGAGCUAUUCUUUGUUUACGCUUGAUAAGACUCAUGUUUCCAUGGUUUUAGUGUUCAUAUGAUGUCAAUUUUAUAGGAAACUGAGUGUUGGAUGUUUGUUUUAUGCUUAAUUUGCUUUAUCUUUUGAAACAUGUUUCUUACUCGAACUUUGAAGGAAGUUUCAGGUUUAUUGAGUUCUAAUUUGGAAAACUUACCUGAAAUAGAAGUUGUAGAUCGUCUCGAUACGAGUUCGUGAGCGCAAACGGAUCAUAAAUCGGAGUUCGGACAAGAAAGUUAUGACCAAAACAAGAAAGUCGCGCGCAACAGCGAAACAGCGGCGACCCCGCGGCGACCGGGCGGCGACCGCCGCCCGAAGAAGGAUUUUUGGGAAGGAUCCGGCGACCGGCGGCGACCGCCGGGAGCCCGCCGGUUUUCGGCGCACUCCGUUUUUUCGCUUUUCGUUUUUAGUCCUUUUCGAGCUCAAACUCUGUAGUUUUACCCUGACUAUAAUAGGUCUUCUUACCUAUUCAGGGUUCAGCUUUUUUUCAGUUCCCAACUUUUAUUUUCUCAUUUAUAGCUUUAGAAUAUUAUUGCUUUCCAGUUUUACGCUUGGAUUGGAUUUCUACAAGAUUGAAGAUUCAAGCGCUACAAUGUUUAUCGUUUUUAUAAAUUUAGUUUUUAAAUUGCUUUCUUUUUAAUUAUGUUUAUGUUUUUUUAUUAUGUCUGGCUAGUUUCUUAGCUGAUUCUAGGGUUUGUAAAUAGUUGAUUGAAUUUGUGUGAUUUAUUUGUUAAUACCUUUGUGCCUUCCAGUUUAUGAUUCAUAAUUCCUGGUGCUUAAUUUCUUGUGAAUUAUCUGAUAAUAGUUUGCAUGUUUAGCUAUUCGGUUUGAGACUAGCGGAGAUAACUGUUAGCGGAUUCAGGAAUGUAUGAUAUGAUUUUAACCUUGAGACCUAGCGGAGAUAGGUGGAUCAUAGGGAGCUAUUCUUAGGAGCUAUUGGAAGUUAGUAGAUUUUCUUGAGACCUAACGGAGAUAGAAAUUUACUAAUCUACGAUCGUUGCUGUCUAGCAGAGUAUUGAUUAAUUAAGUGAUCUCUCAUCAUAACUGGAUUAAACUGGUACAUAGGAUUAAUAGAUUUAUUAUGUGGAUUUAGUUAAUGAAUUUACUACCCUAGGAUCAUUGUCUUUUAAUAUUCGAAUUUUCCUACGUCUUUUUAAUUAUUGUUAAUUGCGUUUUAGUUUAAAGUUAAUUAAACCUUCCUUCUUUCGUUUGCCUGAAUAUUACUAGAGUGUAAUUAGGAUUACUUAGAGUGAUUCGUCAUAAUAGUCCCUGUGGAUACGAUACUCGGUUACUUAAUUUGUGCUACAAUUGCACCGUGUUAGUUGCGGUAAUUUGUUGCUAAUAAUUUAGUGAUCAACUUUUUUGGCGCUGUUGUCGGGGACUGUUUAGAAUUGACUUUAAUAUUUCUAAUUAGACUUAAGCAUUAUUUCAGGUGUUAUAAGUUUAUUUUUUUUUAUUUUUUUUUCUAGUUUUUUAAAUUUCUGUUUUUGUUUGUUGUCUCAGGCGUGUAUGAUCACGAGAUCCAAAGGAAAGGAACAUCUAGUGCCUUUGAACUUGGAAAUCGAAAAGCAGUACAAAAGAGACAACCGCGAAAAGAAGAAGCAAGCAAUGGCAGAGCAACAGAAUAACAUGACCUUGAAACUCUUGUGCGACCGUGACACACCUUCAGAGGAGCUAGACGAAGAGAGAGAGCCAACGACUCUCCACCAGAGCCACCACUGAAUCACAUGUAUCAGCUCGGGUUGAUCAAUUUCAAGGAGGCAGUGGACCAACUGUGCAGGCUACACGUUCGAGCUGAAGCCGGAUUGAUAAACAUGGUCAAGCUGAACAGUUUAGUGGAGGCUUCGAAAACCGCAUGCUCACAUUACCAGUUCUAGAUAUCUGCGACACUAUUAAGCAGAAUGGAGUGCCACCAGAUGCCAUCAGAAUGAAGAUGUUUGGAUUCUCUCUCAGGGACAGAGCGAAGGAGUGGUUCAAGAGUUUGGACAGAGGUGCUAUUACUGGAUGGGAGGAUUUGUGUAGAGCUUUCCUGCAAAAAUACUUUCCUCCUUCUAAAGCUCAGAAAAUCAUUGCGAGAUUUCUCACUUUUCCCAUGGAGAUGAGACCAUUCAUGAUGCCUGGAAAGAUUUCGUGAGCUGCUCAGAACUGUCCACAACAUGGUUUCACGGAGGAUCAGCAAAUCAUUCACUUUUAUAAUGGUUUGACUGGUCUAACAAAAAGUAUGGUGGAUGCUACUGCAGGUGGAUGUCUUCUCCAUAGAAAUACAAGGGAGGCUUAUCGUGUGAUAGAAGAUAUGGCCUCCAAUAGUUAUCAAUGGCCGAAUGACAGAAAUUCUACGAGAAGAAUUGCAGCUGUGCAUGAGGAGAGAGAUGAUUUUAAGGAGAAAUAUGAAGCUCUUCAAAAGCAGUAUGAGUUGGAGAGAAAAGCAUUGCUAGCUAAAAUUCCUCAGCAGCCGAGUUUAUCUGAUGUGUCACAGUUUGAAGAUGCUAAUUGUAAUACCCCGUUUCCUCGAGCUAAGUUUAGAAUAAUUUUGAACUUAGAUUUAAGAUGAUUCACGCCGGAUUGAGAAAAAGAAUUUAUUUAAUUCCAACAAAAUGAUUUACAAAAAACGUUUGUAAAUAUUUUAGCUAUUUAAAUUUUUGUGCAUUGCAUAUUAAUUUAAAUAUGAGCAUGUGUAUAUGUGAAAUAUUUUUCACAUAAUUAAUAUUUUUUUUACAAGAUUUAAAUUAAAGUCUAUGAUUGGACUUUAAUUAUUUUAUGUGUUGGGCUUUGAUUUUUAUAUUGGACCCCUUAAGUUAAGUAUUUGAUUAACCAAAUGAAACCCUCCCUCACGCAGCUCUCUCUCUUCUCUCUUCUCUCCCUCAUUACUUCAUUCUUCUUCACCAUCAAUGAAGCACACAUGCAAGCAUUAAACACUAACCUAAGUAGCCAACCUUUCUAGCAAACAAGAUCCCCCAUUUUAAGAUCACACAUGCACAUGCACCAAUCUCCCUCUCUCUCCCUCAUGCUCGGCCCUCUCCCCUCUCUCUUCUCUCCUUCUCUCUUCUCACUCUCCUACACCAUUAAUAGGAUGACAUCCUCAACAUUUAUCAUCCCAUUAAAUUCAAGAUAUGCAUUAAGUGAAGAAAUCACUCCAUCACAUCAUCUCAUCAAAGCUCAUCAAAGCAAGCUUCCCUCUCUCCUUUUUACUCCCUUCGGCAGCCCCCUCCCCUCCUCACUCCACCACACUUCUCUCCUUGUUUCACCAUUUUUGGAAAGGAUUAAGGAAGCCAAAAGUGCUACCCUCACACCAAGCUAUCAAGUGUACUUCAAUCUUCAAGAUCAAGCUCCAAGAGGCCUACACAUCAUUCUCUACUCCACCUCCAUUAAUCUUGUUGGUAGCAACCUAAAUCCUCCUCUUAUGUUAUAUAUAUAUAUUUUCCAUGAUGUGUAAGCAUGUAUAUUGAAGUAUAUUGAAGCAUGAUGAGUUCUUAGUAAGAAAAUGCAUGAGAAUGAUGGUGAAAGCAUGGAUCUAAAAAGGAUAUGUGUAUAUGUUAUAAAUUCGACCAUUUCAGAAAGUUUUCUUACGUUCUGGACUGUUCAGUCGACGUAGGUUUCCCCUCGUCCAAAAAAUCUUCAAAAAGUUUACAGUGUCUCGACAUAUGUGUCUUGUAAGCUCUGGUAAAAUUUCAAGUCAUUUGGACUUUGUUUACUACCUUUUUAAAAUAUAAAUCUUUUACUGCGCAUUUCCGCCGGAAAUUUAGAAGGGCAGUCUGUAGAGUCACACUUUUCAGUGACUUUCAAAAAUAUUCAGCCUCCCAAAUUUUUAUGGGAGAAAGAUACAUGUGUUUUACAGACGCAUGUCAAAUUACAAAGCAUUCGGAUAACGUUUACUAAUUUUUAAAAAUCCUAGCUUCCAGUCGUGCGAAACUACCGAAUCUGGUAGACUGUGGGAAAACACCCAUAUCUCUUAAACCACUUGGAGUUUUUCACUCUACUUUUUUUAAACAAAACUAGACUCAAAGAGGUUUUCAUAGGUAUAAGUCUCGAGUCCAGGAGAUUUCGGAAUUAAAACAGUUUAUUCGUUGAAGUUGAGACAGAACAGAGUGAUGAACUGUUGGUGUCCGAAAAUUUUACCUUAAUUUUGUAUUAAUGAUUUUAAAGGGUUUUAGUGGAGUAAUACACCAUGUUAUGACAUGAAAUUGCAUUAUAUUUUUGCAAUAAAGUAUUUAUGAUUUAAUUGGUUUUAUUUAUAAUUCCAUUAUAAAGAAAGAUGAGUAAGAAUAUUGUUGGUGUUCUUAAUCAAGAAAAGUUUUCAUUAUUUAUUCAUUAAAUUUUGAAAACCCGGCUAAGUGAAUCAUAGAAUUUAAGCACUUCACGACUUAAGAUUGAUUCAAGAGACCUUAUUGAGAAUAGAUUUCUUGUAGGCUUUGAACGUCAGAGGAUUAGCACUGCUAUUCCGAUUCAAGAUAGUUAAACGACAGGCUUUGCCUAUACAGGUGGGCUUAUUUUUUUCCAAAUGUAUGAUUUAGCUAUUGAGCUUAAAUGUUCGUGAAAUAUAAACUGUUUAUCCAAUAAAAUAUUUAUGUGCACUCUGCUCUGUUUAAGGCUCGCCACAACGAAUCAAUUGAGGUUCUCUUAUGGCCUAACACGUUAUUUGAGAAUUGUGUACACCGUUAGCUGACUCGGUGGGUUGAUCUCCAUUUGGGCACUAACUAAGAGGCGUUAUAAGGGUGCUUGCUGGAUGUGUUCCGAAGCAUGUAAUGUAAGGGCCUGUCUAGGUAGCGUCCCGAGGUCAAAAGUAAACUUGUCUGGGUUACGCCCUCAGUUCAAGUAAAUGGGAGAAAUGGAUCCGUCGGUGGCUAAAAGGUCCGGGAUCACAGCGAGUAACAGAAAUGAGUGUGACAUUUGCGCGCAAAACUAAGUAUAUCUAUAUAUAUGAAAUGUUUUAACAUGCUUAGAAGUUCUUUCACUUUAAAACCUUCUAAGUCAUGUCAAGUAUGAUUGGAUAAACUGUUCUUCAGGUUACGAAAUGUUUUAAAGUUGCAGCCCACUAAGUACAUUAGCACUUAGCCCAAAUAUUUUCAAAUGUUUUUCAGGUUGAUGGCUGGUGUUGACGGGGAGAGCUGAGGCUAGAGUUCAACUCCGUGUUUUGACUUCCGCUGUAAUACUAGCCUUUAUUUGUCUUUUGUUUCUCUGACUUAAGACCUGUAUGUAAAUUCUGAAUUAUGUUUCUUAUCGAGCUUAGACUCUCAACUUUUAUAUAUAUUUUGUUGAGCCGAGACUAUUACUUCACAAGUAUUUCAUUCUAAAUGUUGGUUAUCAGAAGCAUGACACUAAACUUGUGAUCCAAAGGGGACUAGCCCGACAUGUUAUUUUAUUCGGGUUUUUACAAGGUUUUUCCCUUGUUCAUUUCAAUGUAGUUGCACCUCAGUUAUACUUAUUCCUUCAGAAAUUGGGGUGUGACAGCUAGGGUUAGCCCUCCACCAGACGCGAGUAUAAAGGAAAAAUGUGUCCUAUCUGUUGAGGACUUUUGAUCUUUUGGCCAACCUGUGGCAUUUUCAAUCGGUUGCAAGGAACAAGAUCAAGACUUUUGUUUUAGGUACUCUUUAUAAUUCAAGCAUUUAUCUUACUACAUAUUGCGUUCAUAUUAUUUUGUACUUAUGUUUAUCAAUAUGUGUGAGUAGUUUCUUUGGUAGGGUUAAGGGGUGGAAAUAACUGUUGUCGAUAUGUAAAACUAUUGUGAGGUAUUUGUGCUUUCGGUUGAGUCUAGUAAUUUCGGAUGGAUCUAUGUCGAACCAUGGACAGUAGGGGCCUAACGGGUGAUCUCCGUUAGGUAAAAGACUGUCCAUGUCAAGCAAAGGCCAGGCAUACUUGGGCGUGACAACAAGAAUGUCCAUGGCCGAGUAGCUGAGCAGCAUCAAUAAAAGAUGUUGUAGAUCCGGAAGGCGAGGAAGGGAUAGAUGGGAUGCACUGUCCUUCCUCGAUCUUGGGCUUCUCUAGGGACUACCCAUCAACUGUGACGAGGUAUAAAGCCAUGGUUAUCGAUCGAGGGAAGCACUACGCAUCUGUAGGGGUAUCACAUGAUUGGUUGGAUGCAGUUUCAGAAAUGAAUAUCCCAUGAUGGUACACCUUCUGAAGGUGCGGAAUCGUGGACCUCAGGAGAGAAGGUUGGUGAAGGUCAUACUUGGUGGAUAACGGGUAUGACUACUACCUAAGGAGAAGUGAAGCACAACCUUGUGACCGGGAAAAAACCGUGAUCUUCAGACCAAGUGAUUACAAUGGACUCAACCAUCCUAAGUGUGAAGUAUGAUCUCUUGAAACGCCCCAAUGUCUUUGGGCCACGUCUUGAGGUUAUAUGGAUAAUGGAUGGAACAUCAGUAUGCCUAUGACCAACAUAAAUAUCGACAAUAGUUAUGACCUAACCGGAAACCUUACCCCUUGAUAUAUUUGAUCUUCGUUUAGUUUAUUUGUGCAGGUUAUACAAAUUGAGACUUGUGACACCUCAGUUUGUCUUUGGAGAACAAAGUGUUCAUCACUCCCUGUGGGAUUCGACCCUAUACUUGCUACUAAGACUAAUCUUUGGUUGUGGGCAUAGGAGAGUGUUCUGUCCGUCUUGGGCAAACAUAAGUAUUUUGAUCGUACCGCACGACAGGUGUGUGUCAAAAUUGGCGCCGUUGCCAAGGGUGACGCGUAACAAUUUUGUUCUCUCCUGAUAUCGAUAGAACCGAACGAAGGAACCGCGCACUAGCAUGGAUAGCAAGACACAUUGCUAUGGGUGAAGCUGAGCAAGUACAGACUUUGAAGCAGUUGGCUUAUCCAACUAACUUGAACUUGAGGCCCAACGGGAUCACUCUUCCAGCAAACCCGUUCGCACCUCGACGGUAUGAGCUGAGGCCCUCUAUGAUUCAGGUCUUACCGAAGUUCAAUGGCUACGCAUGAGAUAACCCACAUACUCAUCUCCAAGAUUUUGAAAUGUUACGUUAAGCUCAUCCUUUUUUCCUUCUCUCUGGUAGAUCGAGCAAGGCGUUGGCUCUGUGACCUACCCGAGCGAAGUGUUACGACUUGGGCAGGACUCCAACAAUAGUUCUUGGAGGAAUUUUUCCCUAUGUCAAGGGUAGAGCGAAUGCGUUGGGACAUCCAGAGUAUUAAGCAAGAUGGGUUAGAGACUUUCUACGAGUAUUGAACGAGAUUCAAGCGGCUGCUGAGCAACUGCCCCCAUCAUCAAAUAUCCCCAAAGGAGCAGGUGGAGAGCUUCGUCAUAUGCAUGCGGAGAAAUGACCAAAACUUGGUAUUGGCAGCUUGUAACGAAUCAUUGAUGAGAAAAACCCCUUUGGAAAUGUUCCAACUCUUGGGGACUAUGGCUGAAGAGUCCCGUGAUGAGGGACAUGAGAGAAAUUUGGAGUUACCCUCGAGAGGAGAAGAUAAGGAAGAGAUGUCUAAGCUGGAGAAAACUAUGGAAAAAAGCAUGAAAGAACUCAAGGAACUCCUCUCGGGUCUGGCCUUACCGAAGAAGGUUUGUCAGUGUGGAUUAUGUGAUGCCACAGGACACUAGUCAGAGAACUGUCCCAACUUCGGAGAAGAUAUUGUGGAUGUGAGUGCUAUGUAAGGACAAGAUAGACACUAGAGGAAAUAUGAUCCCUAUUCGAACAGCUAUAAUCCUGGGUUGAGGGAUCAUCCCAAUUUUCGGUGGAGAUAGGAUGGUCAACAACAACCGUAACAGAACAACAUGGGACAGGGAUCGAGACAACAGUAUAAUCAGAACCAACAACAACAAGGAUUCCAUCCUCAACAACAACCUUUGUACCAACCACUUCAUCAGAGGAAACAACCAUGGGAAGAAGCCAUUGAGAGUAUGGCAAAGGAAAGUGAAAAGUUUUGCAAUGAAAUCCGCGCUGGUAUGAAUCAAACCAACCAGCAGAUUAGUCACUUGACUAAAUCUUAGCAAAACUGGAAGAAAAUGCGGGCAAACUUCCACCACGGACAAUCAACCACCGGGAACAUGCUCAAGUUGUAAUCACUGAAUGCGAGACUGAGGAUGAUGAGGAAGGAGAGCUUUUGGCAGAAGCUAAAUUGGUCAAAGAAAAGUUGCAAGAAGGCGGUGUUGGUCUAACAGCGAGACAAAUUGGUGGUAACAACCAAACUGAGGCACCCUAUCUAGGGCGCCUAAGGCAAAAGGCUAAAGAGAAAUAAACAAGUGAAAUGAUGAAGAUGUUCCAGAAAGUGGAGCUUAUCAUUCCACUGUUGGAAGUUGUCCGACAAAUUCCCAAAUAUGCUAAGUUCUUAAAGGAUCUUUGUUCGAGGAAAGUGAAGAUGGAAGAAGAGGUUUGAUACGUUAUGGGAGAAAGCGUAUCAUCGAUCAUUCAAAGGAAACUCCCACCAAAGAAAAAAGAUCCGGGGAUGUUCACCAUACCUUGCAAUAUUGGUGGAACAAAUAUGGACAAGGCAAUGAUGGAUUUGGGCGCCUCCAUAAAUAUUAUGUCGUUGCCAUCUACAAGAGAUUGAGUAUUGGUGAUUUGAGGAAAACUCGUGUGGUCAUACAGCUGGCCGACAGAUCCAACGCCUAUCCUAAGGGCGUGGUAGAGGACGUACUGAUUAAAGUGGAAGAUUUGAUCUUUCCCGCAGAUUUCUAUGUUCUGGAUACCGGACCAGAGGCUGGCGAGAAUGCCAUAUUGUUGGAAAGACCGUUUAUGAUGACCUCGAGUACAAAAAUCGACAUGAAGACGGGAGUCCUAACAUGUGAGUUCGAUGAAGUUCUAGAGGAGUUCAACAUUUAUGAGAUAGUGAAAAGAAAGCAAACUGUGGAAACGAUGGACAUGGUGGAUGAUAACACUCAUGUUUCCAUGAUUUUUAGUGUUCAUAUGAUGUCAAUUUUAUAGGGAAUUGAGCGUUUAAUGAUUGUUUUGUGCAUAAAUUAGUUUAUCUUGUUAAAUAUGAUACUUGCUUGUACUUUGGUGAUUUUAUAAAAAUCUUGAGUUUGAAUUUGGACUAUUGAAAUUAAUGAAAGUUGUAGAACAUCGCGAUACGAAUUCGUAGGCACAAACGGAUCGCAAAUCGGAGUUCAGACGAGAAAGAUAUGGCCAGAACAAGAAAGUCGCGCGCAGUAGUAAAUAGUGUCCGACUGGAAUUUCCGAAUUUUUGGGAAUUUUCGGGAUUUUUGAAUUUUAUCAGUAUUUUCGAGCUCUGUACUGUAUUUUAUCACAUGUGCCUAUAUAUAGGUCCUUUGUUUAACAUAUUAGACACAUCUAUUUACUUCUCUUCUUCUUCUUUUUAUUUUUGGACUUAAAAUUUUAUAGCUUUCAUAUAUUAGAUUUAUUUUCUACAAGAUUCAAGAUUGUAGUUGUUCAUCCUGAAUUCUUUUUGGGUUUUAACUAUUUUAUUUAUUUUAAUUGAUUUCUUUUUAUUUAUGUUUUUAUUUUAUUUUCUGAUGUCUUGCUAUUUCUUUUAUGUGAACCUAGGGUUUGUACAUAAUUGAUUAAAUAUGUGUGUUUGAUUUAUUGAUAUCAAUUUGCCCUCCAACUUGUGAUUCAUGAUUCCUGGUGCUUGUUUUCUUGUGAAUUAUUUGAUCAAUAGUUUACAUGUUUAGCUGUUCAGUUUGAGUCUUGAAUGCGAUGAUUUUUCAGCCGAUUCAGGAAUGCAUGAUAUAGUGUUAGCCUUGAGUCUUGAAUGCGACAGGUGAAGCUAUAGAAUGCUAUUCUUUGUGUGCUGUUGGGAGUUAAUUUAUUCCUUUUGAGUCUUGAAUGCAGUAAGAGAUUUAUUAAUCUACGUUCAUAGGUGUUCGUUAGAGAAGCUUAUGAAUAGUGUUGUGAUCUUUCAUCAGGGCUGGAUUAAUAAAUUGAAUGCAUGUGUUUGAUUAACGAUAGUACAUCCCUANGAAAUUCCGGAUAUACCCUUCGACCACGCCAAUACAUGCCGUCCUACUACCAAUUUUUACCAUUUUACCCUUCCCUGUAUUCUAUAAAUAGGUCGCGCACUCGUACAUUGUAAUUACGCUAUCAUUCGCUUUUGAAUACAACAGUUAUAUUUUGCUCUCGUGUUUAAUUCUCCGAUUGUCACUUUGCUCUUUCCGAUCAACUUUACUAGGUAGAGUUUAUGCUCUUUAUCUCGUAGUUUUAGGUGUUGGUUUCAUGAAACACCACAUGUCUAGCUGUUCAGUUUGAGUCUUGAAUGCUAUAAUUGUUCAGCCGAUUCAGGAAUGCAUGAUAUAGUGUUAGCCUUGAGUCUUAAAUGCGACAGAUGAAGCUAUAGGAAGCUAUUCUUUGUGUGUUGUUGGGAGUUAAUUUAUUCCUUUGAGUCUUGAAUGUUAUAAGGGAUUUAUUAAUCUACGUUCGUAGGUGUUCGUUAGAGAAGCUUAUGAAUAGUGUUGUGUUGUUUCAUCAGGGCUGGAUUAAUAAAUUGAAUGCAUGUGUUUGAUUAACGAUAGUACAUCCCUAGGGUCAGAGUCUUUUAUUAUUUGAGUUUUUAUCCUGUUUUAUUUGCUUUGUUUUAAUUUUAGUUUUAUUCAUCCAUCAUAUUUGAAUUUGCCUGGAUAUUGUUAGAGUUUUAUUAGGAUUACUUAGAGUGAUUUCUAUUAUUAGUCCUUGUGGAUACUAAAAAUAGUGAUCAUUGGACAUUUUCGAGCCAUGGGUGCAAGAGCAGGUAAGAGAAUUUAGUUAGGGGGACAAGCUAGAGCAGGUCAACUAGUAUGGUCUUACCGAUAGAGAUGUCGCCACUACAACAUAUAAUGAAAUGAAGGAGGCCAUUGAUGCGUCUUCGACUUUUGGGCCUUUUGGCUCUAUUUUUUCCCUUUUGUUUGUGUCAGUUCAGGUCUGUCCAGGGGAAAUCUCCAUUGUGGAGGAAUGAAGGUUCAGUAAGAGGCAAACGGAGGAAAUAUGGUCGGAAUGGGCAUUACCAGCCCAGAUUGCAAUGACAUGUUCACCAGCAUGGAGCCUAGACGUAAUACCUCCCAAGUUUAACUUGGGGUAUGGGAACCCGAAGCAACCCACCUGGUAUGAGUCAAACCUGAAGAAGUAAUCCGUUCGACCACAACCAACUUAAGCAGACCGCCGGAGCCAAGAAAGGAAAGUAAAUCAUGAAGAUUUGGCUAAAAUAUGCAGAAGGAUGGAGAAGCUCACGGAAGAAUCUGGAAGAAGGGAAGGUUGACCCAAGAUUGCAGCUGGAGAGUAUCUUCAAUCGGAUCAAUUGGAGAUUAUGCUAAAGAAGGAAAGAAAAUCUCGAUGAAGAUAUAGAACUGGCGCAGCUAGGGUUAGCUCCCUACCAUUCUGCAGUAUAAAAGGAACGAGAUGUGCAGCGUGAAGAAGCUCUUGGCCCAUUGAACUUUUGCUUUUACAUAGUUUAGUACUUUUGAAUCCUGUCGAUUUGUGGCAUCUAAAUAAUUUAUAUUUCCAGUACUUUAUUAGUUUCAUUUUCAAUUCACGCAAGGAACAAGAAUAAGGCUCGUGGCCUUAGGUACUCUUUCAUUAAUUUGAGUAUUUCUUUUUUGUUUUAUGUUGUGUUUAUUUCAUUUUGCAUUUAUGUUUACUGCUAUGUGUGAGUAGUCCCUUUAGUGAGGUUUAAGGGGUGGAAAUAAUUGUUGUCAAUAUGUAAACAUUCGUGAGGCAUUUGUUCUUUCGGUUGAGUCUCGUGGUUCCAGACGAAUCUGUGCCAAGCCAUGGACAGUAGGAGCCUAACGGGUGAUCUCCGUUCGGUAAAACGCUAUCCGUGUUAAGCAAAGGCCAGGGCAUACCAGGGCAUGACAACCGGUAUACCCACGACCGAGUAGUUAAGUAACGUCAACAAAAGGCGUUGCAGAUCCGGAAGGUGAGGAAAGGAUUGAUGGGAUACAAUGUCCUUCCUCAGUCUUGGGCUAGAAACUACCCAUCAACUGUGACGAGGCAUAAAGCCAUGGAUAUCAAACGAGGAAGGUAACUACUGCGCCGUAGCAUGUCUAUGACUGGUCGGCUGACAAGUCGGAAAUGGUUGUGUCCAGGAGGCAUGUGUCACUCAAAGUGCAGAGUUGGGGACCUCAAGNGUAACUACUGCGCCGUAGCAUGUCUAUGACUGGUCGGCUGACAAGUCGGAAAUGGUUGUGUCCAGGAGGCAUGUGUCACUCAAAGUGCAGAGUUGGGGACCUCAAGAGAGAAGGUUGGUGAGGGUCAUACUUGGUGAGUAACGGGUAUGACUACUACCUAAGGAGGAGUGAAGCACUGCCUUGUGACCGGGGAUUGUGUGAACUUCGGACCAAGUGAUCGCAAUGGACUCAGCUAUCCUAAAUAUGAAGUAUAGCCUCUUGAAAUGCCCCAAUGUCUUUGGGUCCACGCCUUGAGUCUAUACGGAUCAUGGACUGAUCAUCAGUAUGCCUAUGACUGAAAUAAAUACUGACAAUAGUUAUGACCUAACUGUAAACCUUACCCCUUUGUUAUUAUUGAUCUUUGUUCAGUUUCUUGUGCAGAGUAUACAGAUUGAGAGUAUACAGAUUGAGACCUGUGACACCUCAGUUUGUCGUUGGAGAACAAAGUGGCUCCUCAUUCCCUGUGGGAUUCGACCCUAUACUUGCUACUAAGACUUAUUUCUAGUUGCGAGAAGUAGGAGCGUGUACUGUCCGUCUAGGGCAUACACAAGUAUUUUGAUAGUACUGCACGACGGGUGUGUAUCAGCCAUAAUGGAGCUUUACUCCUUAAAGAAGAAUGUGAUGGAAGUCGAGCUGGAAGUAGAUUGGACGAGCAAGAACAUAAUCCAUGAAGUCUACUCUAUGGGAGGAUCCAUAGAGGGAAACCAGAGCUGCUCAUCAAAUAUGCUCCAUCCGAGAAGUUGUUGCCUUCAAUUGUCAAAGCGCCUACCCUCGAAUUGAAAAAGAUAUCUAAGCACCUGCAAUACGCCUAUUUGGGUCCCUAUGAAACACUACCAGUAAUUAUCAGUGCAGAUCUGAUCAUGGUACUGGUACAGGUCUUACGGGAGAAUAAAGAGGCCAUUGGUUGGACCUUGGCCGAUAUCAAGGGUAUUAGUCCAACUGAAUGUAUGCACCACACUUAUCUCGAAGAAGGAGCAAAGCAGUCCGAGAUUCUCAACGGAAGAUGAACCCCGCAAUGAAAGAAGUGGUGCUGAAGGAGAUCCUGAAACUCAUGGAGUUAGGUAUUAUCUACCUUAUUUCUGACAGCUAAUGUAUUAGCCUGGUACACGUCGUGCCAAAGAAAUCUGAAAUACAGGUUGUGGAAAAUGACAAGGGGAAGUUGGUGCCCACUCGUUUGCAAACUGGAUGGAGGGUUUGCAUUGAUAUAAAAGGUUGAACGUGGUGACGAGGAAGGACCAUUUUCCACUACCCUUCAUCGACUAGAUGCUCGAGCAACUUGUCGGUAAUACCUAUUACUGCUUCCUGGACGGAUAUUCCGGUUAUAUGCAGAUCUUUGUUGCACAUGAGGAUCAGGAGAAGACCAUGUUCACAUGUGUCUAUGGGACGUUUGCUUACCGGCGAAUGCCCUUCAGCCUAUGCAAUGCACCCGACACCUUCCAACGUUGUAUGAUGAGCAUCUUCUCGGAUUUAUUCAAAAACUGUAUUGAAGUCUUCAUGGAUGACUUCACGGUGUACGGGGAUUCAUCUCAAUCAUCUUGAAAGUGCAUUAAAGAGAUGCGUGGAAAAGAGCUUGGUCUUGAAUUAUGAUAGAUGUCACUUUAUGGUGAAAGAAGGCAUCGUGCUUGGGCAUGUGAUCUCAGAGAGGGGGAUCGAGGUUGACAAGGUAAAGAUUGACUCUAUUGCUAAACUGCCGUAUCCAACAUCGGUAAAGCAGAUACGGGUGUUCUUGGGUCAUGCUAGGUUCUACCGGCGCUUCAUAAAGGAUUUUGCAAAAAUCGCGCAACCCUUGACCAAACUUCUGCAGCAGAACAUUCCAUUUGAAUUUGAUGAGAAUUGCAAAGAGGCGUUUUCCAUCCUAAGAAGCAAGCUUAUCUCUGUCCCAAUAAUCUAACCACCGGUGUGGGACUUACCAUUUGAGAUCAUGUGUGACGCAAGCAACCACGCCAUUGGGGCUGUACUGGGACAAAAGAAGGGAAAUGAAAGUUUUGUCAUCUAUUAUGCGUCAAAGACAUUGAACCCAGCGCAAAUCAAUUACAGCACAAUCGAAAAGAAGUUUCUAACAGUGGUAUUUGCUAUAAAAAAGUUUUGCUCCUACCUUUUGGGAAAAAGGCUAUAAUCUAUACAGAUCACACUGCUUUGAAGUAUCUUAUGGCAAAAAAGGAGUCAAACCAAGGUUAAUAAGGUGGAUACUCUUGUUACAAGAAUUUGACAUUAAAAUAAGAGACAAGAAGGGGGCUGCCAACUUGGUAGCUGAUCAUUUGAGUCGAUUGCACUGGGAGAAGAUGCCAGUAUACCCAAAACUGAUGUUUUCCCAUACGAGAAGUUGUAUUCUAUAACAGCCUAUAUAGAGGAGAAGCCUCUGUAUGCCCUGAACAGUCAAGAACCCUGGUACGCGGACAUUGCAAACUACCUGAUUACAAGAGAGUUACCACCAGGGAGAUCCAAGACAGAGAAUCAGCGGCUCACUUCACAAGCUCGUUUGUACUUCUGGUAAGACCCUUAUUUGUGGAAGAUUGGAGUCGACCAGGUCAUACAGAGGUGCAUUACAGAGGACGAGCAUGCAAAGGUUCUGAACAUGUGUCAUGGCAUCGUGUGCAGCGGGCAUUUUGGGAGAAAACGCACUACCCACAGAGUUCUUGAAAGUGGAUUUUAUUGGCCCUCGUUGUUUGCCGAUGCUAGAAAAUGGGUGUAGAGCUGCCCAAGAUGCUAGAUGACUGGAGGCAUUACCGCUAGAGAUGAGAUGCCACAGAUGCCAAUCAUGCCUGUGAAAGUUUUUGACGUAUGGGGGAUUGAUUUUAUGGGACCUUUUCCAAAAUCAAAGAAUUAUGAAUAUAUCCUCGUGGCGGUCGAUUACGUAUCCAAGUGGGUUGAAGCUAAGGAAAUCGUGAACAAUGAUGCUCAUACCGUUGUAGAAUUUCUAAAGGAAUAAGUUAUUGAAAGGUACAUGGUGCCUAAGAUUUUAAUCAGUGACCAAGGGUCACACUUCUGUAAUGCCACUAUCAAGGCUCUGACUAAGAAGAUGAGAUUUAAGCACAAGGUGACUACCGCCUACCACCCACAGGCAAACGGGUAAGCAGAAAUUUCAAAUAGGGAAAUCUAAAGUAUUUUGGAAAAAGUGGUCCACCCUAACCGCAAAGACUGGAGCAACCACUUGGGAGAUGCGCUAUGGGCAUAUAGGACUGCUUUCAAACUCCUAUCGGAAUGUCCCCGUUCAGGUUACUCUAUGGGAAGAGGUGUCAUCUGUCGGUUGAAAUAUAGCAUAAGGCGUACUGGGCUAUCAAGCAGAUCAAUCUCAGUAUGAGCUUGGCUGGUCAAGGAAGGAAUUUGCAAUUGAGAGAAUUGGAGGAGAUUCGGCUAGAGGCGUAUGACAAUGCCGUGUUAUAUAAAGAAAUGACUAAGAUGAUUCAUGAUGCUGGGAUUAGGAAGAAAGAGUUCCAUGUGGGGCAGAAGGUCCUACUUUUCAACUCUCGGAUCAAGAUGAUGGCUGAAAAAACUUCGCUCAAAGUGGUCUGGACCGUUUGUGAUCAAGGAAAUCUUCCCGAAUGAAAGUAUUGAAAUCUUCGACUUGAAUGGAAAGUAUACGUUCGUGGUGAAUGGGCACCGCCUUAAGCCUUUCCACGAGUAUAUAGAGUUUGAUGAGAAGAAUGAGGAGUGUCAUCUCCUCGAUCGUGUUUAUGAUUGAGGAGAAAGAGAGGUCACGAGACGUGAAAUAAGAGCGCUGGCUGGGAGGCAACCCAGAGUCCUAAUUCGGUAUGGUCUUUACCGAAUUUUAUUUAUUUCAAGUGUUUAUUUCUUUUAUUUUGUGUUAUUCUGGAUACUAACUAUGUAGGUAAGUUGGGCAGAAAGAAUUUAAGGAUGGAAGCCCAGUGGAGAUUCCGAGCCCACUUUGCGUUGCAAAGUGUGUAGGUGGAGGAUUGGGGUAUUUAAAUUUCCGAAUGAGGGCUUAUCGAGGUGCUGACGUAAGUGUGUCAGUAGGAGGCGGUGUGAUUUGACGGGAACCCUUCGAUUUUCGUAGCAAAUUUGAAAUUCAAAUUUGAGUAAUGAUUUAUUUUCUUAGAAAUCUGAUACAUGCCAUAACCACCACUUCUACCUUCAAUUAAAUCCCUCAACCCACAAUUUUCUACCUACUAACCCUAGCCUUCAAAGAACUGCUACACCACGAUCUCCACUCUCCCCAAACCCUAAAAUCUCAUAACUGUCGAUCACCCCUACAUAAAAACAAGCUAUGUUCCCUUACUCCAUACAAUUCUAAAUUUCCCACCAAAAAUCUAAACCUUAACCUCUACAGAAUUCACCAUGGCAAAGACAAAGGGAGGAGCCGCAUCUGGUAGCACUCAACCUCCAACGAAGGGAAAGAACGCCAAACCGCCCCCUCCAAAAAGAACCACGAGACGCACGGCCUCUGAAGAAACCUCCACCAAGGUUACCGAAGAUCCUAAUUUGGCUAGUCAACCUGAGGACAGAGGGUGCAUUGACGUCUUAAUAACGGAGAAAUAAGAGACCGCAGGAGCAGCUGCAGAGGCCAAGCAACUGGAGGAGCAAGAAGAAGAAGAGCCUGAGCCCACCCCUCUUGUGAAGAAGCCGAGAAAAGCCCCUUUGAGCAAAGCAGCGAAGGUAACUCCGGCGCGAUCUGCUGCUACCCAGCCACCAGUAACUCAAGUACAACCACCACCGCAAGCUUCUGAGAGAUCUAUGCAAGAAGGGAGAAUCGCCUCCGAAGAUACGGAGGAGGAAGAAAGAGGAGAAAGCAGGGGAAGAAGAAGCUGGUGAAGAUGAAGGUGCUAAGGCCAUUCAAGAGGAGGAGGUGGAGAUUCCGACGCCACUGAACAAGGUGAGGAAACCUACUGUAGCCAAAGAAGGAAAAAAGCAAGGAGAUGGAGAUACCAACGAAGGUAGACCUAGAGAGAACCGAGACAGUGGAGAGUUCUAACUCCGACGACAUCCUUGCCCCUGCAAAGCCAGUGUCAAGUGCAAUCACAUCAAAACCAAAGGUCGUGAAGCGCAAAGCCUUGGUACGUCCUAGCACCAAAGAAGAGUACUACGCGGGAUCGGGUCGUGUUCGGGCGGAAGGCCCAAAUGAAAGUCACAUGAGCAGAAGACAAGGGAAUGAAGGCAAAUGAAAGAAGGCCAAAAGAGAAGUUUGCACGUGGGCACGGCUGGAGUGAAUAAGCACAGGCGGAAGAAUCUGCCCCUCGGGUCCAGAAAAGGAAGAAAAUCCACUUGCCUUCCCAACCGAGAUUCAUUGCCAUGACCGGAGGCCAUGCAGAUCCUAGGGCACGCUAUGAAAGGAAAGUACCAACCAUGCAACCCUAGCCCAGCCGCCGCCUGUUCUAGGCCAAGCCCUAGCCCAUGCCUUCACUAUAAAUAUGGAUGCACCUGCCCAGAAGAAAGAGUUCGGAAGUGUACUUAUCCGAAUAAAGUUUCGAGUUUGCCCAAGUUAUAUAGGAUUCAGGCUGACCCUCUAUGCGGCCACUUUCCUUUUAAUGUGUGCCUUAGUUUUCUGUUCAUGUGUUGAGUGGCUGUGAGGCAGAUACAAGGCCAUAGGCCAUUUUACUUUUCAAUUUUAUGUUUUGUUUGUCUAUGCCCGGAGUUGGUGCCGGCAAGUACUUUGUUUAAUUUCUGCCCAGACAAUUUCAAUUUAAGUAUGUUUCUUUCCUUUAGUUGCUUUGCCUUUAUUUUUAUGUUUAUGAGUAGUUAGGUUCUUAUACCCGGUAUGGGUUAGUUAAAGUUGAUAUGGGAUAACAAUAAUUCGUGAGGUCAAAACGGGCACAAGAUUUGUGCAAUCACAUUCCCGAAGCAUUUGGCAUGAUGCCAAUACAACUUGGGCAAACCUGGGGCUUUAUCCGACUGGUAAUGUUCUGGGCACGACCAAGUUACAAGCAACAAAUGGACUAAAGUUAGGAGGAAUCCGGCUCCACAUAGUGCGGCAAAUGUGGGAAAUGUGAUCGUAUGUCUUUGGACAUUCUUAUGGGUCAUUUGAGUCGGCCAUUCGCGCUGAUGAGGACGGGGUAGGAUGCGCACGUGACACCUAAUAGGGGUCCAUCCUAUUGACGACUAUCCAUAACCAAAGAUGUGAAAGCACAAUGACAAUCCUUGAACCUAUGACCGAAAGAAUUAUCCCAUAUCACACCGAGACUAUGCCCAGACCGGGUUCUUUCUAUUACUGAUUAUUUUCAUGUAUCUUAUUUUCAGCAUUUACAUUCUGCCCAUAAAUAGAUUUCAAUUAUGUUAUGGCCACAGACUGGCGAGUGACUCAUUUGCCCAGAGAUCAGGCAACUCUAUAAAAAACUUGUCACACGAGUACGAGGAUACACCGAUUCCUUGUGGGUUUGACCUUAUUACUUGCCAUUAAACUAACCUUAAUUGCAGGUUAAUCCACACCCGUAUAAAAUCUGUGUACUCAUACCCGUCUUAAACACAAUUAAAAAAUGAUUUUAUUACUCAUUCUAGUCUUAAAUAGUACUCCAUCCAUCCCACUUAAAUUGGCACUUUUGAGUUGGGCACGGAGAUUAAGAAUAAAGUGUAAAGUAGGUGGAGUCCACUUAUUUUAUGUGUGUAGAGAAAGUAAGGACCACAUACUAUUUUAAGAAAGUGCCAAUUUAAGUGAGACAAACAAAAAAGACAAGUGUGCCAAUUUAAGUGGGACGGAGGGAGUAUCAUUACUAAUUAUUCAAACCAUUUAGAAUGUAUAAAUAUCAUUGUUAUAAUAGUUAAAUAUCUGUCACAAUUAUAAUUUGAACAUUUUUAAGUAAAUAUUAUUAAUAAAUAGAAUAAAUUACAAAAUUACAAAUUAAAGAAAAAUUCAUGUAGGCAUGUCAAUUAAUGUUCAGACUCUUUUAAAAAAAUAAUUUUAGUACCAAUUUUCAUCUUAAACUCGUAUUUUAUUAUAAUAAUUGUUCAAACUCAUUUAUAUAUUUAUAAAAUAUCUAAUUAAUUAAAUAUAAAAUAUUACAAUAAUUGAUUAUAUGUUUCAGUAAAUUUCAAACAUUACAAUGUAAGCAUUAAUAAUACAUAGUACAAAAACUCACGAAUUACCCAUUCUUAUCUUAAACCCGCAUUUUGCUGACUCCUCGAACUCGUUAAAGUUUAUAAAAGUAAAUAUGUGUCUCAAUAAACUCAAAUAUUUAAAUAUUAAUAAUAAAUAGUGUAAAUAUUUUACAUGCAAGACUGCAAUUUAUUUAUAAUAUCCAAUUUGUGAAAUUUCUUAAAAUAUCAAAUUAUGAAUCCAGGAUUCAAUCGCACAAAUUGACAAACCUAUCUAAAAUAUACACACACACACACACACACACACGUCCCCAUGUCAAACUACAAUAAAAGUGAUUUUACUACUCAUUCUUAUGUCAAACAUGUAUAAUAUACUCACUAAUUACAUGUACAUGUUUGAAAUUAUAAAUAUAUAUUGUUGCACUAAUUGAUUAUCUGUCACAAUAAUAAACCAACGUUACUGCCGAAGCCCGUCGUCAAAACCUCAGACAAAAUAAAAUAUGUAUUUUCUAUGCCCUGCAAUCAAGGUUAGUUAAUGGCAAGAAUAGGGUCGAAUCCAUAAGGAAUCAGUGUAUCUCGGUACUCAGUGUCACAAAGGUUGAUGGGGUGCACUUUGGUCUAAGUGCCAGAACUUUGGUCUAGUACAAAAUGUAGACUUUGACUGUAAACGCUGAAAGUAAACAUAAGAAAUUAUCAAUAAUAAUAAAAGAAAAUCUAGUCUCGGCAUAAUCUAGUUAGGUAUGGGGUAUAUUUUUUAUGAUCGAUGUAAGGGUAUUCAUUGUGCUUUCAUGUCGUCGGUUAUUGACCGUUUGAUCAGUAAGUUGUGCCCCCAUUGUUAUGGUGUCCUGCGCACAAGCUCACACAGCCCUCAUCUGUGCCCUUUAUAUUGGGUGGAAGUGUCUCUCUUCCUCCAUCUACCCUGGUAAAUUCCCAACAUCAAACUGUAGUUGUGAGGGUAUGCCCAGAACGCAUUAUAGUACAGCAGACCCAAAUGGUCACAGGCAUGCCCAAAAGCAUACUACCACUGCCCGCAUCAACCAUACUAUAUGGAGCAGGAUUUCUCCAAGCUUUUGCCAGUGUGAACCUAGUCUUACCCAGAACGUUACUGUCCGAAUAAAGUUUCGAGUUUGCCCAAGUUAUAUAGGAUUUAGGUCUAAUGCUUCAGGAACAUGUUUGCACAAUUAUGAAAUCUAUUUUGACCUCGUGAUUAUUAUUCCCCUAUACCCAACAUCAACUUAGCCCAUACCAAGUGUAUAAACUUAGCUACUCAUAACAAUGGAGAUAAAGGCAACGCAGAUGUAAAGGGAAAACAUACUUAUAUUGAACGUUGCAGGUCUAUAUGAAAAGUAAUCUUUAUCCAACUCCAACUCCGGGCAAAGAAAAUAAAAACAUAAACAUAAAUUUAAAGUGCCUUUCAGAUUUAUUUAUUUCCUCACUUCACUCAAAGCAUAAUAAAUUACAAACGAACAAAAUAAAGUAAAGGGGUUGCGUAGGGGAUCGCUCUGGGAUCUGCAGUCUUCAGCUCUAAAAAUCAUGUCUUUGACUGAAAUGAUUCCCGUAGUUAUGGAGGAGCAAUGGGCUGGGGCUCUAGCUCAGGAGCGUGGUUGCGACUAGGCUAGGGUUUGGCAGAAAAUACUCUCAUUCUGCAUCAAAACCUAGUAUCUGCGAACACUUAGUCAAUUUUAGGUUUCUCUUUUCAGUUUAGCCAAUUCGGUUUGAUAAAAGGUUUGUGCACAAGUAAGGAACAAUAAAACUGAAAGCAGUAAACAACAAGAGAUUUUUACGUGGUUCGUGUAUACGUUCCUACGUCCACGGUAGUUGUCCGCACUGACGAUCACUAAGCUUGUGCUUACGGGUGCACAACAAACCUUAAAUUGAAACUCUCGUUUCAGUGCCAACAUUUUGGGUCGGACUUCUCUUUCUCCUUCUCAAUUCGCAGUUGCAAAGACAACACACGUCUUGCUUGCGGAGGCUAAGAACUCUCGAGUUCAGACAAUAAUCUAGAACUCUCUCUCUC